rnacentral:rRNA from 1 species
AUGAACGCUAGCUACAGGCUUAACACAUGCAAGUCGAGGGGCAGCAUGGUCUUAGCUUGCUAAGGCCGAUGGCGACCGGCGCACGGGUGAGUAACACGUAUCCAACCUGCCGUCUACUCUUGGACAGCCUUCUGAAAGGAAGAUUAAUACAAGAUGGCAUCAUGAGUCCGCAUGUUCACAUGAUUAAAGGUAUUCCGGUAGACGAUGGGGAUGCGUUCCAUUAGAUAGUAGGCGGGGUAACGGCCCACCUAGUCUUCGAUGGAUAGGGGUUCUGAGAGGAAGGUCCCCCACAUUGGAACUGAGACACGGUCCAAACUCCUACGGGAGGCAGCAGUGAGGAAUAUUGGUCAAUGGGCGAGAGCCUGAACCAGCCAAGUAGCGUGAAGGAUGACUGCCCUAUGGGUUGUAAACUUCUUUUAUAAAGGAAUAAAGUCGGGUAUGGAUACCCGUUUGCAUGUACUUUAUGAAUAAGGAUCGGCUAACUCCGUGCCAGCAGCCGCGGUAAUACGGAGGAUCCGAGCGUUAUCCGGAUUUAUUGGGUUUAAAGGGAGCGUAGAUGGAUGUUUAAGUCGGUUGUGAAAGUUUGCGGCUCAACCGUAAAAUUGCAGUUGAUACUGGAUAUCUUGAGUGCAGUUGAGGCAGGCGGAAUUCGUGGUGUAGCGGUGAAAUGCUUAGAUAUCACGAAGAACUCCGAUUGCGAAGGCAGCCUGCUAAGCUGCAACUGACAUUGAGGCUCGAAAGUGUGGGUAUCAAACAGGAUUAGAUACCCUGGUAGUCCACACGGUAAACGAUGAAUACUCGCUGUUUGCGAUAUACUGCAAGCGGCCAAGCGAAAGCGUUAAGUAUUCCACCUGGGGAGUACGCCGGCAACGGUGAAACUCAAAGGAAUUGACGGGGGCCCGCACAAGCGGAGGAACAUGUGGUUUAAUUCGAUGAUACGCGAGGAACCUUACCCGGGCUUAAAUUGCAGAUGAAUUACGGUGAAAGCCGUAAGCCGCAAGGCAUCUGUGAAGGUGCUGCAUGGUUGUCGUCAGCUCGUGCCGUGAGGUGUCGGCUUAAGUGCCAUAACGAGCGCAACCCUUGUUGUCAGUUACUAACAGGUUCCGCUGAGGACUCUGACAAGACUGCCAUCGUAAGAUGUGAGGAAGGUGGGGAUGACGUCAAAUCAGCACGGCCCUUACGUCCGGGGCUACACACGUGUUACAAUGGGGGGUACAGAGGGCCGCUACCACGCGAGUGGAUGCCAAUCCCCAAAACCUCUCUCAGUUCGGACUGGAGUCUGCAACCCGACUCCACGAAGCUGGAUUCGCUAGUAAUCGCGCAUCAGCCACGGCGCGGUGAAUACGUUCCCGGGCCUUGUACACACCGCCCGUCAAGCCAUGGGAGCCGGGGGUACCUGAAGUGCGUAACCGCGAGGAGCGCCCUAGGGUAAAACUGGUGACUGGGGCU